CCUACGGGAGGCAGCAGUGAGGAAUAUUGGUCAAUGGACGAGAGUCUGAACCAGCCAAGUAGCGUGAAGGAUGACUGCCCUCUGGGUUGUAAACUUCUUUUAUAUGGGAAUAAAAUGUUCCACGUGUGGGAUUUUGUAUGUACCAUAUGAAUAAGGAUCGGCUAACUCCGUGCCAGCAGCCGCGGUAAUACGGAGGAUCCGAGCGUUAUCCGGAUUUAUUGGGUUUAACGGGAGCGUAGGUGGAUUGUUAAGUCAGUUGUGAAAGUUUGCGGCUCAACCGUAAAAUUGCAGUUGAAACUGGCAGUCUUGAGUACAGUAGAGGUGGGCGGAAUUCGUGGUGUAGCGGUGAAAUGCUUAGAUAUCACGAAGAACUCCGAUUGCGAAGGCAGUUCACUGGACUGCAACCGACACUGAGGCUCGAAAGUGUGGGUAUCAAACAGGAUUAGAUACCCGGGUAGUC
rnacentral:rRNA from 1 species